rnacentral:rRNA from 1 species
UACGAGGGGGGCAAAUGUUGUUCGGAAUCACUGGGCGUAAAGGGUGCGUAGGCGGCGCGGUAAGUCGGGUGUGAAAUCUCGGAGCUUAACUCCGAAACUGCAUUCGAUACUGCCGUGCUUGAGGACUGGAGAGGAGACUGGAAUUUACGGUGUAGCGGUGAAAUGCGUAGAUAUCGUAAGGAAGACCAGUGGCGAAGGCGGGUCUCUGGACAGUUCCUGACGCUGAGGCACGAAGGUCAGGGGAGCAAACGGGG